AACUAAUGAAUGAGGUGGAGAAUGAGGACUUAGUUUUUACUCUGGAAACUAUAGUGGACAAAUUUGGAGAGGAGAUGGCACCUUAUGCUCUAGGUUUAUGCCAGAAUUUGGCUGCUGCAUUUUGGAGGUGUAUGAACACUGCUGAAGCUGAGGAUGAAGCUGAUGAUCCUGGUGCUUUGGCAGCGGUUGGUUGUUUACGAGCUAUAAGCACAAUUCUUGAAUCAGUUAGCAGGCUUCCUCAUCUUUUUGUCCAGAUUGAACCUACUUUGCUUCCUAUAAUGCGAAGAAUGUUGACGACUGAUGGUCAAGAGGUGUUUGAAGAAGUACUGGAAAUUGUUUCAUACAUGACCUUUUUCUCUCCAACAAUAUCUCUGGAUAUGUGGAGUCUUUGGCCUUUGAUGAUAGAAGCAUUGGCAGAUUGGGCUAUUGACUUCUUUCCAAAUAUUCUGGUUCCCUUGGACAACUACAUAUCAAGGGGAACUGCAAAUUUCCUC
rnacentral:misc_RNA from 1 species